AUUGAACGCUGGCGGCAUGCCUUACACAUGCAAGUCGAACGGCAGCAUGAUCUAGCUUGCUAGAUUGAUGGCGAGUGGCGAACGGGUGAGUAAUACAUCGGAACGUGCCCUGUAGUGGGGGAUAACUAGUCGAAAGAUUAGCUAAUACCGCAUACGACCUGAGGGUGAAAGUGGGGGACCGCAAGGCCUCAUGCUAUAGGAGCAGCCGAUGUCUGAUUAGCUAGUUGGUGAGGUAAAGGCUCACCAAGGCGACGAUCAGUAGCUGGUCUGAGAGGACGAUCAGCCACACUGGGACUGAGACACGGCCCAGACUCCUACGGGAGGCAGCAGUGGGGAAUUUUGGACAAUGGGCGAAAGCCUGAUCCAGCAAUGCCGCGUGUGUGAAGAAGGCCUUCGGGUUGUAAAGCACUUUUGUCCGGAAAGAAAUGGCUCUGGUUAAUACCUGGGGUCGAUGACGGUACCGGAAGAAUAAGGACCGGCUAACUACGUG
rnacentral:rRNA from 1 species